UACGGGGGGGGCAAGCGUUGUUCGGAAUUACUGGGCGUAAAGGGCUCGUAGGCGGCCAACUAAGUCAGACGUGAAAUCCCUCGGCUUAACCGGGGAACUGCGUCUGAUACUGGAUGGCUUGAGUUUGGGAGAGGGAUGCGGAAUUCCAGGUGUAGCGGUGAAAUGCGUAGAUAUCUGGAGGAACACCGGUGGCGAAGGCGGCAUCCUGGACCAACACUGACGCUGAGUGAGCGAAAGCCGGGGGAGCAAACGGG
rnacentral:rRNA from 1 species